AUGCUACGAUUCCCAACACAUGGCUCCUUCGAUAAGGAACUCGCGAGGUUCUUUUGGCAGGCCGCAGACGGCCGCCAGAAGUAUCACAUGGUCAAGUGGGCAGAUAUCUGCAGGCCCAAGGACCAAGGUGGGCUGGGAAUUAUGGCGUCUCGUCGCAUGAAUGUUGCACUUAUGAUGCGAUGGAUAUGGCGGAUCAUGCGCGGCAAGGGAGGACUGUGGUUACGGCUGAUUCUAGCAAAAUAUCUGAGAGGUGUACCCCUCCUGGCGUACUCAUGA
rnacentral:rRNA from 1 species